rnacentral:rRNA from 1 species
UACGUAGGGGGCAAGCGUUGUCCGGAUUUAUUGGGCGUAAAGAGCGUGUAGGCGGUUUGGUAGGUCCGCUGUGAAAACUCGAGGCUCAACCUCGAGACGCCGGUGGAAACCAUCAGGCUAGAGUCCGGAAGAGGAGAAUGGAAUUCCUAGUGUAGCGGUGAAAUGCGCAGAUAUUAGGAAGAACACCGGUGGCGAAGGCGGCUCUCUGGAACGGUACUGACGCAUG